GGAAUACUCCCUCCAUCCCAAAAUUUUUGUUUUAGAUUUGUUUAGAUAUGAAUGUAUCUAGUCAUGUCUUAGUAUUUUGAUACAUCCAUUUCUAAAAAACCUAUGACAAGAAUUUUAGGACGAAGGGAGUAUAUU
rnacentral:pre_miRNA from 1 species